rnacentral:rRNA from 1 species
GAUGGACGCUGGCGGCGUGCCUAAUACAUGCAGGUCGAGCGAACGGACGAGAAGCUUGCUUCUCUGAUGUUAGCGGCGGACGGGUGAGUAACACGUGGAUAACCUACCUAUAAGACUGGGAUAACUUCGGGAAACCGGAGCUAAUACCGGAUAAUAUUUUGAACCGCAUGGUUCAAAAGUGAAAGACGGUCUUGCUGUCACUUAUAGAUGGAUCCGCGCUGCAUUAGCUAGUUGGUAAGGUAACGGCUUACCAAGGCAACGAUGCAUAGCCGACCUGAGAGGGUGAUCGGCCACACUGGAACUGAGACACGGUCCAGACUCCUACGGGAGGCAGCAGUAGGGAAUCUUCCGCAAUGGGCGAAAGCCUGACGGAGCAACGCCGCGUGAGUGAUGAAGGUCUUCGGAUCGUAAAACUCUGUUAUUAGGGAAGAACAUAUGUGUAAGUAACUGUGCACAUCUUGACGGUACCUAAUCAGAAAGCCACGGCUAACUACGUG